AUACGGAGGGGGCUAGCGUUGUUCGGAAUUACUGGGCGUAAAGCGCUUGUAGGUGGUGUGGCAAGUUAGAGGUGAAAGGCCUGGGCUCAACCUGGGAACUGCCUUUAAUACUGUCACGCUAGAGUUCGGGAGAGGGUAGCGGAACUCCAAGUGUAGAGGUGAAAUUCGUAGAUAUUUGGAAGAACACCGGUGGCGAAGGCGGCUACCUGGACCGACACUGUCACUGAGAUGCGAAAGCGUGGGGAGCGAACAGGAUUAGAUACCCCGGUAGUCC
rnacentral:rRNA from 1 species